rnacentral:rRNA from 1 species
UGGGGAAUAUUGGACAAUGGGGGCAACCCUGAUCCAGCCAUGCCGCGUGAGUGAUGAAGGCCUUCGGGUUGUAAAGCUCUUUUGGCGGGGACGAUGAUGACGGUACCCGCAGAAUAAGCCCCGGCUAACUUCGUGCCAGCAGCCGCGGUAAGACGAAGGGGGCUAGCGUUGUUCGGAAUUACUGGGCGUAAGGCGCACGUAGGCGGAUAUUUAAGUCAGGGUGAAAUCCCAGAGCUCAACUCUGGAACUGCCUUUGAUACUGGGUAUCUUGAGUAUGGAAGAGGUAAGUGGAAUUGCGAGUGUAGAGGUGAAAUUCGUAGAUAUUCGCAGGAACACCAGUGGCGAAGGCGGUGGUCUGGGCCGGAACUGACGCUGAGGAGCGAAAGCGUGGGGAGCGAACAGGAUUAGAUACC